GAUGAACGCUGGCGGCGUGCUUAACACAUGCAAGUCGAACGAGAAGUGAAGACGGAAACCUUCGGGCGGAAGGCUUUAUUUCGAGUGGCGGACGGGUGAGUAACGCGUGGGUAACCUGCCUCAUACAGGGGGAUAACAGUUGGAAACGACUGUUAAUACCGCAUAAGACCACAGCACCGCAUGGUGCGGGGGUAAAAACUCCGGUGGUAUGAGAUGGACCCGCGUUCGAUUAGCCAGUUGGCGGGGUAACGGCCCACCAAAGCGACGAUCGAUAGCCGAUCUGAGAGGAUGACCGGACACAUUGGGACUGAGACACGGCCCAAACUCCUACGGGAGGCAGCAGUGGGGAAUAUUGCACAAUGGGGGAAACCCUGAUGCAGCGACGCCGCGUGAGUGAAGAAGUAUUGCGGUAUGUAAAGCUCUAUCAGCAGGGAAGAAAAUGACGGUACCUGAGUAAGAAGCCCCGGCUAACUACGUG
rnacentral:rRNA from 1 species